ACCUACGGGAGGCAGCAGUGAGGAAUAUUGGACAAUGGGCGCAAGCCUGAUCCAGCCAUGCCGCGUGCAGGAAGAAGCAUCUAUGGUGUGUAAACUGCUUUUGUACGGGAAGAAACACUCCCUCGUGAGGGAGCUUGACGGUACCGUAAGAAUAAGGAUCGGCUAACUCCGUGCCAGCAGCCGCGGUAAUACGGAGGAUCCAAGCGUUAUCCGGAAUCAUUGGGUUUAAAGGGUCCGUAGGCGGUUUAGUAAGUCAGUGGUGAAAGCCCAUCGCUCAACGAUGGAACGGCCAUUGACACUGCUAGACUUGAAUUAUUAGGAAGUAACUAGAAUAUGUAGUGUAGCGGUGAAAUGCUUAGAUAUUACAUGGAAUACCAAUUGCGAAGGCAGGUCACUACUAAUGGAUUGACGCUGAUGGACGAAAGCGUGGGGAGCGAACAGGAUUAGAAACCCUUGUAGUCCC
rnacentral:rRNA from 1 species